AGCCCCGAGGUGAUUUUCAUGUUGAAUUGCAAGUUCAAAGGAGCAGCCUGAGGUUUUCUG
rnacentral:tRNA from 1 species